rnacentral:rRNA from 1 species
UACGGAGGAUGCGAGCGUUAUCCGGAUUCAUUGGGUUUAAAGGGUGCGUAGGCGGCCCUAUAAGUCAGUGGUGAAAGUUUGCGGCUUAACCGUAAAAUUGCCAUUGAUACUGUAGGGCUUGAAUCCACGUGAAGUAGGCGGAAUGUGCAGUGUAGCGGUGAAAUGCUUAGAUAUUGCACAGAACACCGAUUGCGAAGGCAGCUUACUAAAGUGGUAUUGACGCUGAUGCACGAAAGCGUGGGGAUCGAACAGG